UUUAGCCUGGCAGAGCCAUCCUGAAGAGGAAGAGCUGAAGAAACCUAUUUUGAAUUGGAAAAGAAAAACUCAGUGUAUUGUGAGCCUCUCAUACCAUGAUGAUCCAGGAUUCCAGCUUCUUUGGGGAAGAUUCACAGGGAAUUUAACCGAAUGUAGGGUGGAAGUGAGGUGACUAAAGCAGAGAGUCACAUGACUCUCAGAUACCAUCACAUUGGUUUUCGCCUACAGCCUGGGAGAUACAUUGGGGAUACUGUAGCCGUCUGAUUCCGAGCCUGAAGAUGAAGGUAAUACACAGAGAUGUUUACUACUUCCUUUUCCUCUUCAAGAAUCACAGAGCAGUGGAGUUGAAGCCACUGAAUUAAGUAAAUCCUAAAACCCGAACGACCUAUGGACUUACAGGUAUGAGGGUCUAUAAAUGUUCCUGUUGUUUAAGCCAGUUUCAUUUGACUUUUCCAAUGCUUGCUAUGGAAGGCCUUCCAAUUAAUUGAAUAACUAACAGCUGAGAAUAAAAAGAGCUAGCCCAAGACUUC